AAUGUGAAAAAAGGGUGCUGACGUAUAAAGUCGGCUGAGAGCGGCGUGAACGCCGAAACCUGUUACCUGAUUCGGAUAAUGCCGACGUAGGAAAAUACGCUUAUUUUAAG
rnacentral:ncRNA from 2 species